CCCUUAGAUGUUCUGGGCUGCACGCGCGCUACACUGAAGCUAUCAACACGUUUUCCUUCCCUGAGAAGGGCGGGUAACCUUUUGAAUCAGCUUCGUGGUAGGGAUCGGGGCUUGCAAUUGUUCCCCGUGAACCAGGAAUUCCUAGUAGACGCGAGUCAUAAGCUCGCAUCGAUUAAGUCCCUGCCCUUUGUACACACCGCCCGUCGCUACUACCGAUUGAACGUUUUAGUGAGGCAUUUGGACCGACGCAUCUCAGUUUAACCGCUGGUUUGUGUUGGAAAGACUUCCAAACUUGAGCGUUUAGAGGAAGUAAAAGUCGUAACA
rnacentral:rRNA from 1 species